rnacentral:snoRNA from 1 species
CCCGCCACUAUGCCGAUCUGCCGGUGAUUUGGCGUAUUCCAGUGGUGAGCUGAGAUCAGAUUGCCGUCUUAGGAAACAGAGUCCUCCUGCGCGUGGAAGACCCUGUGCCGAAAGAUUGGGGACAAAA